AACGAACGCUGGCGGCAGGCCUAACACAUGCAAGUCGAGCGAGGACUUCGGUCCUAGCGGCGGACGGGUGAGUAACGCGUGGGAACGUGCCCUUUGCUUCGGAAUAGCCCUGGGAAACUGGGAGUAAUACCGGAUGAGCCCUUUGGGGGAAAGAUUUAUCGGCGAAGGAUCGGCCCGCGUUGGAUUAGGUAGUUGGUGGGGUAAUGGCCUACCAAGCCGACGCUCCAUAGCUGGGUUGAGAGGAUGAUCAGCCACACUGGGACUGAGACACGGCCCAGACUCCUACGGGAGGCAGCAGUGGGGAAUCUUAGACAAUGGGGGAAACCCUGAUCUAGCCAUGCCGCGUGAGCGAUGAAGGCCUUAGGGUUGUAAAGCUCUUUCAGCUGGGAAGAUAAUGACGGUACCAGCAGAAGAAGCCCCGGCUAACUCCGUG
rnacentral:rRNA from 1 species